rnacentral:rRNA from 1 species
UACGGGGGGGCAAGCGUUGUUCGGAAUUACUGGGCGUAAAGGGCUCGUAGGCGGCCAACUAAGUCGGACGUGAAAUCCCUCGGCUUAACCGGGGAACUGCGUCCGAUACUGGAUGGCUGGAGUAUGGGAGAGGGAUGCGGAAUUCCAGGUGUAGCGGUGAAAUGCGUAGAUAUCGUAAGGAAGACCAGUGGCGAAGGCGGGUCUCUGGACAGUUCCUGACGCUGAGGCACGAAGGCCAGGGGAGCAAACGGGG